CUACGGGUUGCAGCAGUGAGGAAUUUUGCGCAAUGGGGGAAACCCUGACGCAGCAACGCCGCGUGAGCGAAGAAGGCCCUCGGGUCGUAAAGCUCUGUCAAGUGGGAAAAAAAUCCUUUGAUCAAUAGCCAAAGGGCUUGAUGGUACCACUGGAGGAAGCACCGGCUAACUCCGUGCCAGCAGCCGCGGUAAUACGGAGGGUGCAAGCGUUGUUCGGAUUUACUGGGCGUAAAGAGCGUGUAGGCGGUUUAGUAAGUCAGAUGUGAAAGCCCCGGGCUCAACCCGGGAAGUGCAUUUGAAACUGCUUCACUAGAGUAUGGGAGAGGAGAUUGGAAUUCCUGGUGUAGAGGUGAAAUUCGUAGAUAUCAGGAGGAACACCCGUGGCGAAGGCGAUUCUCUGGACCAAUACUGACGCUGAGACGCGAAAGCGUGGGGAGCAAACAGGAUUAGAUACCCGGGUAGUC
rnacentral:rRNA from 1 species